AAUGAACGCUGGCGGCGCGCCUAAUACAUGCAAGUCGAGCGAGAAGACGUAGCAAUACGUUUGUAAAGCGGCGAACGGGUGAGGAAUACAUGGGUAACCUACCCUCGAGUGGGGAAUAACUAGCCGAAAGGUUAGCUAAUACCGCGUACGCUUCUUGGACUUCGGUUCAGGGAGGAAAGCGAUGCCGAGGGUAUCGCGCUCUUGGAUGGGCUCAUGUCCUAUCAGCUUGUGGUGAGGUAACGGCUCACCAAGGCUUCGACGGGUAGCUGGUCUGAGAGGACGAUCAGCCACACUGGCACUGCGACACGGGCCAGACUCCUACGGGAGGCAGCAGUAAGGAAUAUUGCGCAAUGGGCGAAAGCCUGACGCAGCGACGCCGCGUGGGGGAUGAAGGUCUUCGGAUUGU
rnacentral:rRNA from 1 species